rnacentral:rRNA from 2 species
UUCGCAAUGCCCGAAAGGGUGACGAAGCGACGCCGCGUGGGUGAGGAAGGCCUUCGGGUUGUAAAGCCCUGUCAGGAGUUAAGAAAUGUAAGUGCGCUAAUAUCGCAUUUAUUUGACGAAGGCUCCAAAGGAAGCCACGGCUAACUCUGUGCCAGCAGCCGCGGUAAUACAGAGGUGGCAAGCGUUGUUCGGAAUUAUUGGGCGUAAAGAGCACGUAGGUGGGUUUGCAAGUCAGAUGUGAAAGCCUCCUGUUCAACGGGAGAAUUGCAUCUGAAACUGCAGAUCUUGAGUGUAGGAGGGGAGAAUGGAACUUCUGGUGGAGCGGUGAAAUGCGUAGAUAUCAGAAGGAACGCCGGCGGCGAAAGCGAUUCUCUGGCCUAUUACUGACACUCAGUGUGCGAAAGCUAGGGGAGCAAACGGGAUUAGAUACCCCGGUAGUCCUAGCCGUAAACGAUGGGCACUAAGUAGAGGGGUUUU